ensembl:lncRNA
CGGGGAUUCAAGGGUUACCUUGUGUUGGUAAAAUUAUGAUUAAAUGACUGAACAAAUCAUUUUAAAUGGAACUGUAACUAAGUAAACUUAUACUCUGUUUUAUUAUAUCUGAUUAACAAUAUGAGUUCAUACGAUGGUAAGACAGUGAGUGCAUUCCUAAGUUUUCUGUUAAUUAGAACUGUCAGCUCAGUGGUGAUCGAUAAUGUUGAGGGGUCAAAAGUUACCUGGGAGUGUGUUAGUAAGUUAGAAUGAACUUUUCACCUCACUUUGUCCCGGUCGAGAGGAGGGGAUUCUGUUAAAGCAAUGAAAUGAUGUCAUGAUUUGUAUAUAAACUGUUGCUCGUGGUGAAAUGGGAGCGCGCUCUGAGAAUAAAUUCUGUUACCUAUUAUUUAAAAAGACUGGUCUCCUUCUAUUUUAUGCAAACAAGAAUCUUACAAAUUCUCAUAAAAUAGAUUAAGGGUAUUCAAUUAAUGAAAGCACAUUGGCAUAAUUAAAUUAUAUUAACACCUUGUGACCAAGGACUGCCGGGGGUUCAAAGGGGGAACCUGGAGAGCCCAGUCCCAAAGGAAGCCAAGUACAAAACAACACGUGUGUUUAGUCCUUUUGCUUUUUAGAUGUGUUCAUGACUUAUAUUUUAAGAAACAGCAGUUAAUGGUGUUUUCAUUUUUCAUCGUCACCCUCCCAUUCUCUUUCUCUGGGGUGAGAGGGGGAAUAACGGUGUGCCUGAGACCCCUGGGACAAGCGUAUGUAACUUUUCCCCACUCUCGACUCUACUUGAGGGGCAUGCAUUACUCGUAACUGAUAUAGAUGUUCACACUGCCUUUUUAGACUCUGAUUUCAUGUUUUUCCAUCUCAUUGCCGCUCUGUAGGGUGAAACUGGGCUCAGAGGCAGCAAAGGAGAGGUACGUUUCAUUAGUUUGUAAAUAUCUCACUUCUCAAAUGUAACUUAUUUUCUUCUUCAGAAAUCUGCCUAUACAGACCUACAGGUCUAUUUUGAAGACUGUAACCCAUUUUCAUCUACAGUUUUCAUGCGAGUAAAGUCAUACCAUAUAAAACAAAUAUCACGAUAGGCUAAUUCCUUCUUUCGACAUCGCUGUAUCUUUUUGUGUCAGUAAAAUGUAUUAUGUGUUAUCAUAUCGAAGUAAAUUUGGAGUCACACAAUGAAAUUGUGUGUCCCACUAACACUCGGGAAACCACGCAGUUUAAAUUUGGUUACAGAAAAAUGUUGAUUAACUUCACAGAGUGGUGAAAGUGCAAGGGUCUUAUUCUGGUGACAUGAGGAUCGAUGCUGAUUUGACAAAUUAAAACAUUUUCGCUCUUAUCCAUAAUCUCAUCAUGUCGACUAGCCUACCGCCAGAGCUUAUCUGUACUGUAUCUGCGAUCUGUUGGCUAAAGUGCACGUGCCAAGAUCAGAGUAGGUACAUUUACUAUUUAACGCAACAGUUUUUGUGCCGAAACUAUCCAUAGAGUUGAACAUGCAAUGGAAACACAUUGAACAUUAGAUUUAAGCAAAAAAGUCAAGUUUGUGUGCACUACGUCCUCUCCCACUGAUUUAUAUCUGUAAGUCCGUUUGGUGGAAACACUACUGGUGGGGAAAGCAUAUCUUUUCUUCAUGCAGAUUUUGGAAUAUUGGCAUGAAAAUGUGUCACCAAUUGGAUGGAAACCUACGUAGCUACACAAACCACAUUAUUUCACCAACACUGACACAAACAAACAGAAUACAAUUCUGAUGAAGAGAAGGGAAUCUAUUUCAGUAUAUAGUGGUUAGGUCAGCUCCACAUAACCGCCUCCAAUGUCUCAUGCAAACUUCUUGGUCUGUGACAAGUAGUCCAUACAUGUAAUGUGGUUUGGACAUUACCACUUAUGCGUCACACUGUACAUAUUCAAUGGAAUCAAAAACAUAAACAAACAGAAAAAUUCUAUGCAGACAUUGGUUUUAAAAAGUAAAGUGAAUUCUACAGACUGCAAACUUACAACAGGUACAGAUGAAGUCGGAAGUUUACAUACACUUUAGGUUGGAGUCAUUAAAACUCGUUUUUCAACCACUCCACAAAUGUCUUGUUAACAAACUAUAGUUUGGGCAAGUCGGUUAGGACUUCUACUUUGUGCAGGACACAAGUCAUUUUUCCAACAAUUGUUUACAGACAGAUUAUUUCACUUAUUAUUCACUGUAUCACAAUUCCAGUGGGUCAGAAGUUUACAUACUCUAAGUUAACUGUGCCUUUAAACAUCUUGGACAAUUCCCGAAAAUGAAGCAUGGCUUUAGAAGCUUCUGAUAGGCUAAUUGACAUCAUUUGUGUCAAUUGGAGGUGUACCUAUGGAUGUAUUUCAAGGCCUACCUUCAAACUCAGUGCCUCUUUGCUUGACAUCAUAGGGAAAUCAAAAGGAAUCAGCCAAGACCUCAGAAAAUCAAUUGUAGACCUCCACAAGUCUGGUUCAUCCUUGGGAGCGAUUUCCAAACGCCUGAUGGUACCACGUUCAUCUGUACAAACAAUAGUACGCAAGUAUAAACACCAUGGGAACACGCAGCCGUCAUACCGCUCAGGAAGAAGACGUGUUCUGUCUUCUAGAGAUGGAAGUACUUUGGUGAGAUAAGUGCAAAUCAAACCCAGAUCAACAGCAAAGAACCUUGUGAAGAUGCUGGAGGAAACAGGUACAAAAGUAUCUACAUCCACAGUAAAACGAGUCCUAAAUCGACAUAACCUGAAAGGCCGCUCAGCAAGGAAGAAGUCACUGCUCCAAAACCGUCAUUAAAAAGCCAGACUACGGUUUGAAACUGCACAUGGGGACAAAGAUCGUACUUUUUGGAGAAAUGUCCUCUGAUCUAAUGAAACAAAAAUAGAACUGUUUGGCCAUAAUGACCAUCGUUAUGUUUGGAGGGAAAAGGGGGAAGCUUGCAAGCCGAAGAACACCAUCCCAACCAUGAAGCAUGGGGGUGGCAGCAUCAUGUUGUGGGGGUGCUUUGCUGCAGGACGGACUGGUGCACUUCACAAAAUAGAUGGCAUCAUGAGGGAGGAAAAUUAUGUGGAUAUAUUGAAGCAACAUCUCAAGACAUCAGUCAGGAAGUUAAAGCUUGGUCGCAAAUGGGUCUUGGUCACUGCUGGUUCUUGUGCCUCUCCUGGACAAGAUGGGUUACCAGGGCAACCAGGAGAGCAUGGAUACCCAGGGAAACCCGUACGUGGACCACAAGUAGAAGCGAUUUGCCCCAAAAUGUCAAUAGUCAUUACCAGCUCAUUAUCUAAUGUGAAUAUAUUGUCUUUCAGGGCAAGCCACCAACUGAUGACCACUUGAUUAAGCUUUGUGCUAAUGUACUUCUGAGUAUGUUCCCUGCUAUUUGUUUUAAUGUAUGACCAUUAUCUGUUGUAUGGAUUAUUGAAGAUUUAGACUGUUUCAAAUGAUAGACUCCAGAAUGCUUGCUAGGAAUGAGGGCAUUAGGCAAUCACUGAUUGUUUUUAUUUUUUCACCAAGUGCACGUAUCCAGGGCAUUUCGAAAUAGUGAGGAUGUUCGUAAUUGAAGAUCUAAGACAGCAUACAGCAGCAUCCUGUUGGUCUACACAUCAUAACAACAUGUUAACUGAACUACCCCCUGGGAACAUCUGGAGCACUAGUGCAGCUUUCAUUUCUGCAUUUUGGAGAAAAAAACACACAUCCUCUGCAACACACAUUGUUGCCUAAUCUCUGUGUCUGGGUAGGACUCAGUACACAUUUCUAUUUUAGACCACAACUCUUGGAGAUACAUAAUAACAUGCUGACAGUAGUGAAGAAAAUCUGAAUCUGGCUCUGAACUAAACAAAUGCAUAGACCUACUAUUCAGUGGAACAAUGUAUAUGACAAAAUAGCAACAAUACAGUAUGGUGUUGCCUGGCAAUCCAAACUCUGUGCUCCAGCCAAACGCUACAACACGCUUACGAACAUUAGCUUCUUCUCUGCAAUGAGUCUAGAUCUGAGUACCUUCCUGACAAUUUCUAGAAGGGAAACACAUUCUAACCGUUCUGAUUGGUCCCAUAAACCGAUGGUUUGUUUUGUCGGCCACAAAUAAUCCUAUCCUUAUUGUCCUUGUUCUAUAAAUGGCACACAAUUCUUUGUCUGACAACUAAAACUGACUUAUUUCGCUGCUCUAUGUUCCCCUCAUACUUCAAUCUGAGAUUGCCAUCAUUGAAAUAUUCAAAAUAUUAUUCUAAUAGUGCUGAUCAUGAUGACAGAUAUUCUUGGCAAAAUCACAAAGUUACAUUAUGACACAUGUCAACUGUUAUAUCUUUUUUUGUUUUGUUUAUUUAUUUAAUUUGUAUUAGUCUUUAAAAAAAUUGAGGGUAGAUCAGCUUUAAUAGUGCAUAUAAAAUGUAUAUUCCAUCAAUGUAAUCUGCAUAAUUUCCAAUCCCCCAUAAAUGUUCUGGGUGUUUAUAUAUAUAUACAGUGGGGCAAAAAAGUAUUUAGUCAGCCACCAAUUUUGCAAGUUCUCCCACUUAAAAAGAUGAGAGAGGCCUGUAAUUUUCAACAUAGGUACACUUCAACUAUGACAGACAAAAUUAGAAAGAAAAUCCAGAAAAUCACAUUGUAGGAUUUUUAAUGAAUUUAUUUGCAAAUUAUGGUGGAAAAUAAGUAUUUGGUCAAUAACAAAAGUUUAUCUCAAUACUUUGUUAUAUACCCUUUGUUGGCAAUGACAGGGGUCAAACGUUUUCUGUAAGUCUUCACAAGGUUUUCACACACUGUUGCUGGUAUUUUGGCCCAUUCCUCCAUGCAGAUCUCCUCUAGAGCAGUGAUGUUUUAGGGGUGUUGCUGGGCAACACGGACUUUCAACUCCCUCCAAAGAUGUUCUAUGGGGUUGAGAUCUGGAGACUGGCUAGGCCACUCCAGGACCUUGAAAUGCUUCUUACGAAGCCACUCCUUUGUUGCCCGGGCGGUGUGUUUGGGAUCAUUGUCAUGCUGAAAGACCCAGCCACGUUUCAUCUUCAAUGUCCUUGCUGAUGGAAGAAGGUUUUCACUCAAAAUCUCACGAUACAUGGUCCCAUUCAUUCUUUCCUUUACAGGGAUCAGUCGUCCUGGUCCCUUUUCAGAAAAACAGCCCCAAAGCAUGAUGUUUCCACCCCAUGCUUCACAGCAGCUAUGGUGUUCUUUCGAUGCAACUCAGCAUUCUUUGUCCUCCAAACACAACAAGUUGAGUUUUUACCAAAAAGUUAUAUUUUGGUUUCAUCUGACCAUAUGACAUUCUCCCAAUCUUCUUCUGGAUCAUCCAAAUCUCUAGCAAACUUAAGACGGGCCUGGACAUGUACUGGCUUAAGCAGGGGGACAAGUCUGGCACUGCAGGAAUUGAGUCCCUGGCGGCGUAGUGUGUUACUGAUGGUAGGCUUUGUUACUUUGGUCCCAGCUCUCUGCAGGUCAUUCACUACGUCCCCCCGUGUGGUCUUGUAUGUCUUCCAUUUCCUAAUAAUUGCUCCCACAGUUGAUUUCUUCAAACCAAGCUGCUUACCUAUUGCAGAUUCAGUCUUCCCAGCCUGGUGCAGGUCUACAAUUUUGUUUCUGGUGUCCUUUGACAGCUCUUUGGUCUUGGCCAUAGUGGAGUUUGGAGUGUGACUGUUUGAGGUUGUGGACAGGUGUCUUUUAUACUGAUAACAAGUUCAAACAGGUGCCAUUAAUACAGGUAACGAGUGGAGGACAGAGGAGCCUCUUAAAGAAGAAGUUACAGGUCUGUGAGAGCCAGAAAUCUUGCUUGUUUGUAGGUGACAAAAUACUUAUUUUCCACCAUAAUUUGCAAAUUAAUUCAUUAAAAAUCCUACAAUGUGAUUUUCUGGAUUUUUUUCUUAUUUUGUCUGUCAUAGUUGAAGUGUACCUAUGAUGAAAAUUACAGGCCUCUCAUCUUUUUAAGUGGGAGAACUUGCACAAUUGGUGGCUGACUAAAUACUUUUUUCCCCCACUGUACCACUUGUGUCUGAGCCGUUGAAUUGCGACUCUACUUUGUCUCUAUUCUGGCGCUUAGCUUGUUUGAUUGCCUUGCGGAGGGAAUAGGUACACUUUGUAUUCGGUCAUGUUUCCGGUCACCUUGCCCUGGUUAAAAACUGUGGUUUGUGCUUUCAGUUUCAUGUGAAUGCUGCCAUCAAUCCACUGUUUCUGGGUUGGGAAUGUUUUAAUCGCUGCUAUGGGUACGACAUCGUCAAUACGUUUUCUAAUGAACUCGCUCACCGAAUCAGCGUAUUGUCAAUGUUGUUGUUUGAGGUGAGUCUGGGGUGAGGUUAUCAAUAGUAAGGCUAAUGUAGGGUUGACCACCCCCGCUUUUACUGGUCUAGAGAUCAGUAGUUGCAAGAAACCAUGUGGUUUGAGCCAAACUUUUUCGAACAUCAGCUUUAACCUGGUUGUACAGGUUUGGGAUUUCAGUCUUGGAAAAUAAUGUUUGUGAUGACACUUUGUAGUGAGGCACGGUAACCUUCAUUAUCCUCAGAAAGCCAGGCCUCUCAACAAUUUGAAAUGGCAUCAUGUCCUUUGCAAUGUAAUAUGAAAGGGCUGCAGUGAGGUCUUGAGCAUGUUUUGACAUGGUUGCAUAAGCUGCCUGCCUUUUAAAUGCUUGCUCGAGUGUCUGUGUCACAACUGUAGAUGAGGAGGGGGGGGGCCCACUAUGUAAACAAGGGAAUAGCAAAUGUAUUAUUAUUAUUAUGUGUUACAUUAUUAUUAUUCACUCACUCUGUCACGUGUGCUCCCUCUCUGACCUCUAGGUCUACAGGCUGCUCGUUAUGGCGCACACCUGUUACCAUCGUUACGCGCACCUGCACGUCGUCAGACUCACCUGGACUCCAUCACUUCGUUGAUUACCUGCCCUAUAUAUGUCACUCCCUUUGGUUCCUUCCCCAGUCGUCAUUGUUUCUGUUUCAUGUCUGUGUGUGUGUUGUCCAAGGUUCUUGUUUUGUAUUAUGUUCUGUUUGUUUUCUUAAACAUUUUUGCGUUUUUUUUUUUUUGGUCAGGCUCUCAUGCCUCAGCCAGAUCGACAGGCUCAGGAUCGUCCCUUGGGUUGGCAUCCUGCGGCUGGUGCCGAACACGCCGGGGAGGGGGUACCGUCAGUUAUGCUCUCUCUCCGGCUCUCUAGGUCGCCAUGCUCCUGCGUCUCAGCCGGAUAGAGUUUCCUGUGCCUCUGCAGAGGUGUCCGGUCCGCUCCUGUUCUCCGGGAUCGUCACUUUGGGUGGCGUUCUGCAGCUGGAGCCGCACGUCGGGAAGGGGGAAGGGGAUACUGUCAUGUGUGCUCCCUCUCCGACCUCUAGGUCACCAGGCUGCUCGUUAAGGCGAGGUUCUUGUUUUGUAUUAUGUUCUGUUUUAUUUUAUUAAAACACUCACUCUCUGAACUUGCUUCCCGACUCUAAGUGCACGUCGUUACUCACUCUCUCACACACUCACACACAGUAUCUUCUGUUUUGCAUUUGAGUAUAUGCAAUGACCCC